rfam:Aedes aegypti strain Liverpool supercont1.234 genomic scaffold, whole genome shotgun sequence.
GGCUCGGUAGCUUAGUUGGUAAAGCGCUCGUCUAGCAUACAAGAGUCCUGGGUUCAAAUCCUAGCCGAGCAC